GUAGGUGAACCUGCGGAAGGAUCAUUGUCGAACCCUGCAAAGCAGAACGACCCGCGAACUUGUACUAACAACCGGGCGUCGUGGGGAUGRGGCAUUAGUCUGAUCCUCGUGACGCCUCGUCKACGUCCGUUUGUGUUGACCCUUUUGGGCCCUCACGACGUGAUGUUGGCACAACAACAAACCCCGGCACGGCAUGUGCCAAGGAAAACAAAACUUAAGAAKGGCUCGUACCAUGACGCCCUGUUUUCGGUGUGCUCGUGGUACGUGGCCUCUUUGUAAACACAAACGACUCUCGGCAACGGAUAUCUCGGCUCACGCAUCGAUGAAGAACGUAGCAAAAUGCGAUACUUGGUGUGAAUUGCAGAAUCCCGUGAACCAUCGAGUUUUUGAACGCAAGUUGCGCCCGAAGCCAUUCGGCUGAGGGCACGUCUGCCUGGGCGUCACGCAUCGCGUCGCCCCCAACCACWAGUCCCUUCGGGGAUGCAUGGCAUGGGGGCGGAGAUUGGUCUCCCGUUCCUACGGUGCGGUUGGCCAAAAUAGGAGUCCCCUUCGGCRGACGCACGACAAGUGGUGGUUGAAAAAACCCUCGUCUCGUGUCGUGUGUUGUUAGCCGUAACGGAGUGCCUCUAUAAAGACCCCAACGUGUCGUCAUUUGACGAUGCUUCGACCGCGACCCCAGGUCAGGCGGGACUACCCGCUGAGUUUAA
rnacentral:rRNA from 1 species